AUACGGAGGGUGCAAGCGUUAUCCGGAUUCACUGGGUUUAAAGGGUGCGUAGGCGGGUUGAUAAGUCAGUGGUGAAAGCUCCGGGCUUAACUUGGAAACUGCCAUUGAUACUGUCAAUCUUGAAUGUCGUAGAGGUAAGCGGAAUGUUGCAUGUAGCGGUGAAAUGCUUAGAUAUGUUACAGAACACCAAUUGCGAAGGCAGCUUACUAUGCGAUAAUUGACGCUGAGGCACGAAAGCGUGGGGAGC
rnacentral:rRNA from 1 species